rnacentral:rRNA from 1 species
UUCCGGUUGAUCCUGCCCGACCCGACUGCUAUCAGAGUGGGACUAAGCCAUGCGAGUUAACGUAGCAAAACGUGGCAUACGGCUCAGUAACACGUAGCCAACAUGCCCAGGGGACGUGGAUAACCUCGGGAAACUGAGGAUAAACCGCGAUAAGUCACUGCUUCUGGAAUGGGCAAUGACUUAAAUCUAUAUGGCCCCUGGAUUGGACUGCGGCCGAUCACGCUGUUGGUGAGGUAAUGGCCCACCAAACCUGUAACCGGUACGGGCUCUGAGAGGAAGAGACCGGUGAUGGGCACUGAUAGACGGUGCCAGGCCCUAUCCCGCGCAGCAGGCCCGAAACCUCUGCAAUACCCCUUAGUCUGACACGGUCCCUCCCAGUUUUCUUCAUUGGGUAAUCUACCUACACAUCUAGAAUCCUUCCAAAAAGGGGUGGGCACAUCGGGUGGGCAUACUCUGUGCUCAUCCGCCCCACACAUACCGACGCCCCGCUUGUCGCUAAAAUAUCUGGGCCGGGGCAGCCAGUGUCUCGUUUACUACGUCUUCCAAAAAAACCCGCCGCUCCACAGACAGGCUGCAAAGAUAUCUACGCGGCUUCGGACACCGCAGAGGGCGCGGGUCUCUGGUGGAAGGUGUAAAAUCCUUUUAUCCGACGAGACUGCU